rnacentral:rRNA from 1 species
AUUGAACGCUGGCGGCAGGCCUAACACAUGCAAGUCGAACGAGUGGCGGACGGGUGAGUAAUGUAUGGGAAACUGCCUUAUGGAGGGGGAUAACUACUGGAAACGGUAGCUAAUACCGCCUAGCCUCGGAUGAGCCCAGAUGGGAUUAGCUAGUAGGUGGGGGAAAGGCUCACCUAGGCGACGCUCCCUAGCUGGUCGGAGAGGAUGACCAGCCACACUGGAACUGGUACACGGUCCAGACUCCGAUGGGAGGCAGCAUGGGGGAAUAUUGCACAAUGGGGGCAAGCCUGAGGCAGCCCUGCCGCGUGGAUGAAGCAGGCCUUCGGGUUGUAAAGUACUUUCAGCGGGGAGGCGUUACCCGCAGAAGAAGCAACGGCUAACUCCGUGCCAGCAGCCGCGGUAAUUC